AACAGUUUUGGUCCUGAGCUAACCGUUCUUUUUUAUUAAGAUUAUACAUGCAAGCCUCAGCACACCAGUGAAAAUGCCCACAACCCCUUAAAAGACAUAUUGGAGCCGGCAUCAGGCACUACAAUUUAAGCCCAUAACGCCUUGCUACGCCACACCCCCACGGGUAAAUCAGCAGUAAUAAACAUUGGGCUAUAAGUGAAAACUUGACCCAACUAUAAUAUAUUAGGGCUGGUCAAUUUCGUGCCAGCCACCGCGGUUAUACGAAAGGCCCAAAAUAACGGCUAACGGCGUAAAAUGUGACUAGAGAUUUCAUAACAUUAAAAAUAUCAUAAACCUAUAACCUAGUUGUAAAACACUUAGAUAUUAAAGGAAAACCAACAUAUGUAUUUUUAAUAUUAUAUUCUUGACCACACGAAAGCUUAGAAACAAACUAGGAUUAGAUACCCUACUAUGCUAAGCCCUUAACAUUGAUAGCAUCAUAUACAACCUUUCCGCCAGAGAACUACAAGUGAAAAACUUAAAACUCAAAGGACUUGACGGUGUCCCAUAUCGACCUAGAGGAGCCUGUCCUAUAAUCGAUACUCCCCGCUCCACCCAACCCCAACUAGCAUACCUCAGCCUAUAUACCGCCGUCGAUCAGCCUACCCUAUGAAAGUCCAAUAGUAGACACAAUAGCCCUAUCGCUAGUACGUCAGGUCAAGGUGUAGCAAAUGUUGUGGAAGAGAUUGGCUACAUUUUUUAUUAUAAAAAAUACGAAAAAUACUAUGAAACAGUAUAUGAAGGUGAAUUUAGUAGUAAAAUAAACAAGAGUGCUUAUUUUAACAACGCUCUGGGACGCGUACACACCGCCCGUCACCCUCCUCAACUAACCUAAACUUUACCCUUUAUAAAUCAACAAAAGUUAAAAUAGAGGAGGUAAGUCGUAACAUGGUAAGCGUACCGGAAGGUGUGCUUGGAUUAAC
rnacentral:ncRNA from 1 species